UGGGGAAUAUUGGACAAUGGGCGAAAGCCUGAUCCAGCCAUGCCGCGUGAGUGACGAAGGCCUUAGGGUUGUAAAAUCCUUUCGUUGGGGACGAUAAUGACGGUACCCAAAGAAGAAGCUCCGGCUAACUUCGUGCCAGCAGCCGCGGUAAUACGAAGGGGGCUAGCGUUGUUCGGAUUUACUGGGCGUAAAGCGCGUGUAGGCGGGUCGUUAAGUUGGGGGUGAAAUCCCGAGGCUCAACCUCGGAACUGCCUUCAAAACUGGCGACCUGGACCUAAGUAGAGGCAAGUGGAAUUGCGAGUGUAGAGGUGAAAUUCGUAGAUAUUCGCAGGAACACCAGUGGCGAAGGCGACUUGCUGGACUUAUGGUGACGCUGAGACGCGAAAGCGUGGGGAGCAAACAGGAUUAGAUAGCCCUGUAGUCCCUGAGCGGGCUGGCAAGGCGCAU
rnacentral:rRNA from 1 species